rnacentral:rRNA from 1 species
GACGAACGCUGGCGGCGUGCCUAAUACAUGCAAGUCGAACGAGUGGCGAACGGGUGAGUAAUACGUGAGUAACCUGCCCUCUUUUUGGGAUAAGCCUUGGUAACGGGGUCUAAUACCUGAUAAAGGUGGAUGGGCUCGCGGCCUAUCAGCUUGUUGGUGGGGUGAUGGCCUACCAAGGUGGUGACGGGUAGCCGGCCUGAGGGGGUGACCGGCCACAUUGGGACUGAGAUACGGCCCAGAGUCCUACGAGAGGGAGCAGUGGGGGAUAUGGCACAAUGGGCGAAAGCCUGAUGCAGCGACACCGCGUGAGGGGUGGAGGCUUUCGGGUUGUAAACCUAUUUCGAUAUCGAAAGGGUAGGUAGGGAGAAAGCGCCGGCUAACUACGUGCCAGCAGCCGCGGUAAUUC